GACGAACGCUGGCGGCGUGCUUAACACAUGCAAGUCGAACGGAAAGGCCUCUUUCGGGGGGUACUCGAGUGGCGAACGGGUGAGUAACACGUGAGUAACCUGCCCUUGACUUUGGGAUAACUUCAGGAAACUGGGGCUAAUACCGGAUAGGAGCUCCUGCUGCAUGGUGGGGGUUGGAAAGUUUCGGCGGUUGGGGAUGGACUCGCGGCGUAUCAGCUUGUUGGUGGGGUAGUGGCUUACCAAGGCUUUGACGGGUAGCCGGCCUGAGAGGGUGACCGGCCACAUUGGGACUGAGAUACGGCCCAGACUCCUACGGGAGGCAGCAGGGGGGAAUAUUGCACAAUGGGUGGAAGCCGGAUGCAGCAACGCCGUGUGCGGGAGGACGGCCUUCGGGUUGGAAACCGCUUUCGCUCAUGACGAAGCUUUGUGUGACGGUAGUGGGUAAAGAAGCACCGGCUAACUACGUG
rnacentral:rRNA from 1 species